rnacentral:lncRNA from 1 species
UUAGUUUGGUCAUAUUUGUUUGGGCGUCUUUUACUUUCCCUAAGAUGUCUUUCUGAAAUUUUUCAUUAGAGGUUGCCAUAUCCUUGACAAUGGGUUGCUAAUGACAUGCUGAUUGCAAAA